rnacentral:tRNA from 1 species
GGAGAAGUGGCUCAGCAGUUAAGGGCACUGACUGAUCUUCCAGAGAUCCUGGGUUCAAUUCCCGGCACCUACA